rnacentral:rRNA from 1 species
GUGGGGAAUAUUGCGCAAUGGGGGAAACCCUGACGCAGCGACGCCGCGUGAGCGAAGAAGGCCUUAGGGUUGUAAAGCUCUGUUUUAAGGGACGAAUGUCGUGGGGAGUAAUAUGCUCUGCGAAUGACGGUACCUUAAGAGGAAGCCCCGGCUAACUACGUGCCAGCAGCCGUGGUAAGACGUAGGGGGCGAGCGUUGUCCGGAAUUACUGGGCGUAAAGAGCACGUAGGCGGGAACUUAAGUCAGGUGUGAAAGACCGGGGCUCAACUCCGGGGUUGCACUUGAAACUGGGUUUCUUGAGGGCAGGAGAGGAAAGCAGAAUUCCUGGUGUAGCGGUGAAAUGCGUAGAAAUCAGGAGGAAUACCAGUGGCGAAGGCGGCUUUCUGGACUGACCCUGACGCUGAGGUGCGAAAGCGUGGGUAGCAAACAGGAUUAGAUACCCUGGUAGUCC